GGGAGAUGCUGGCAAGAGGAGAUUGUUAGAGCCAUAAGGUCAAGCUCCAGGGAGAGACAGUGAUGAGCUGUGACAGGAGAGCUCAGUGUAGAGCCAGAGCAUGAACAUAUCACUGCAGGCACAAUCAGAACAGCUGAGCAGUUGGAUCAGGUGUGCAUGGAGCUGCUCCAAUUGCCAUGUAAGCCGAAGACCAAGUGUCUGUCAAAGGAAUCAGCCAGCAAGAGCUACGUUAGAAGUGCUCUGGGACAGCAGUGACAGGUGCAUGUCAUUACAGUAACUCCUAAAGCACAACAGCCACUGAAAAGAGCCAAUAACAGAGAAGCCGAGAGCUCCACAACUCCACGAAAGAGCAAGUAUAACAACUAACCUUAAACUACCUAAUGGACACUUUCACUUCACAUCUGCCUUUGGGUAACUGGCAAACAUUGGCACAUAUGGAUGAAGCACUGGACUGGAAGCCAUGACACCUACAUACCAUUCAUGGUUCACUGUGUGAACUUGGUCAAGCUGUUUAAACUCUCUGCCAGAUAGAUCAGCGGCAGGUAUAAAUCAGUGUAGCUCUGCUGGAGCCAAUGAAACUAUGAUUUAUACAAACUGAGGCCCUGGCAUUCUGUGCCUCAGUUUCCACAUUUGCAGCUAAUCACACAUACCUUUGAAAAGCGCUAUAAGUGAAGUAGUAUAAUAAUGAAUGCAUUACUAAUUAACUAGGGAGGAGAACAUGUUUUAGAUGCAGUGAAAUGUACAGCUGUGCAUGGAGAUUUUGAAGUGCAGUUACAGUCAGAAUAUUAGCCUCUGCAAAAAUAAAGCAAGUCAGGCUUCCUAUUUAUCCCCCCCUUUUUUCAAUGACUACCACUCAGUACUGCUCAUGUUUCAAAUCAAAGGGGGGCUUGGCUAAAUGUCAGUGCUGGAAACUCCACCUGGGACCUCCACCAGUGCCCUUUCUGCCUCUUCCAUCACUGCCAGUGACAAAUAGGAACUGAUUAGCCAGCAGCUCCAAUGGUGAUGUGCAAGACAAAACAGAACCCAGCUCUCUCUCCCAGAGCU